rnacentral:lncRNA from 1 species
UGUUGUCAAACCAAAAGUUUCAACAAAAUAAGUAUCUAAGGGAAACUAUAGUCCAGAUCAUGAAAGAAAAUCUAAAAUCAAACCGAGUCAUUUCAUGCUCAAAUUAUAAGUCGAAGGCUUCCACAACAUAUAAAGAAAAGAGGUUUACAAGCUUUUGAAUUCAACUUAGUCACGUUUUAAUUGAACUGAACAAAGUUGAUUAACAAAGAUAUGAUAUUCACUUAAUAGCACGGGUUAAAGGAAAAAGGGAGGAUGGAAGAUCAUUGCC